UUCAUCAGCGACUCAUGAUGCUCAUCUCUACAGCCCAGAGGACAUUUAAAGAACUAAAUAAAGAUAUAGAAGGCGGCCCCUUCUCUCAUCAGUAAGCCUUACCAUCUAAGGGACACUCUGGACAUCGGAAGAUUCCAAGUCGUCUCUUAUGGAGGAUUCAUCUGGCGACUCAGCAGGUUAGUGAAGAAAAAGUUAGAAGAAUAUUACCCUAAAUCACGGUCAGGUGAUAAGGGUCUGCAUUAUGACAGCUGGAACUGAAGUGAAUGAAAUAAAUGUGAGCACCACAAAGGAAGUCUCAUCGGGGCUUGGCUGAAUAUAAAGAGAGGGAGGAAUUAAAAUGUGUUCUGUUUUUCAUGUGUGCUCCUCUGAGGUGUGGACAGCAUUCCACACACAUUGGACAAAGACUGCUGAACCAGCCGAAAUCUACAGAUGAAGACUCCAUAAAAGUAACAAGCAAG
rnacentral:lncRNA from 1 species